UCUUUUCCGGCUGGAACCAUGGAGGGUGCAGAAGAGAAGAAAAAGAAGGUUCCUGCUGUGCCAGAAACCCUUAAGAAGAAGCGAAGGAAUUUCGCAGAGUUGAAGAUCAAGCGUCUGAGGAAGAAGUUUGCUCAGAAGAUGCUUCAAAAGGCAAGAAGGAAGCUUAUCUAUGAAAAAGCUAAGCAUUACCACAAGGAAUAUAGGCAGAUGUACAGAACUGAGAUUCGAAUGGCAAGGAUGGCAAGAAAAGCUGGCAACUUAUACGUACCUGUGGAACCCAAAAUGGCAUUUGUCAUCAGGAUCAGAGGUAUCAAUGGUGUGAGCCCAAAGGUUCGAAAGGUGUUGCAGUUUCUUCGCCUUCACCAGAUCUUCAAUGGCACCUUUGUUAAGCUCAACAAGGCUUCAGUUAACAUGCUAAGGAUUGUGGAACCUUAUAUAGCAUGGGGGUAUCCAAAUCUGAAGUCGGUGAAUGAAUUGAUCUACAAGCGUGGUUAUGGCAAAAUCAACAAGAAGCGAAUUGCCCUGACAGAUAACACAUUGAUUGCCCGAUCUCUUGGUAAAUAUGGCAUCAUCUGCAUGGAGGAUCUGAUUCACGAGAUCUAUACUGUUGGAAAACGUUUCAAAGAAGCAAACAACUUUUUAUGGCCCUUCAAAUUAUCUGCUCCACGAGGGGGAAUGAAGAAAAAGACCACCCAUUUUGUAGAAGGUGGAGAUGCUGGUAACAGGGAAGACCAGAUCAAUAGGCUUAUUAGAAGGAUGAACUAAGGUAUCUGCAAUGAUUAUUUUUGUAAUCUGGCCAGUUAAUAAAUGACUACUCUCAUGGAAAAAAAAAAACAAAAAACAAAACAAAACAAAAAAACA